rnacentral:rRNA from 1 species
GUGGGGAAUCUUGCGCAAUGGGCGAAAGCCUGACGCAGCCAUGCCGCGUGAAUGAUGAAGGUCUUAGGAUUGUAAAAUUCUUUCACCGGGGACGAUAAUGACGGUACCCGGAGAAGAAGCUCCGGCUAACUUCGUGCCAGCAGCCGCGAUAAUACGAAGGGGGCUAGCGUUGCUCGGAAUUACUGGGCGUAAAGGGCGCGUAGGCGGACAGCUUAGUCAGAGGUGAAAGCCCAGGGCUCAACCUUGGAAUUGCCUUUGAUACUGGCUGUCUUGAGUUUGGGAGAGGUGAGUGGAACUCCGAGUGUAGAGGUGAAAUUCGUAGAUAUUCGGAAGAACACCAGUGGCGAAGGCGACUCACUGGCCCAAUACUGACGCUGAGGCGCGAAAGCGUGGGGAGCAAACAGGAUUAGAAACCCUUGUAGUCC